ACUGAAAAAAGUGAAACUACUGUGCUGUUCAUUUAAAGUGCAUUUUUACAUUGGACUAAGUGAAAAUCAUGGUUUCUGGUUUAAACCUGUUUUGUUCAGUUUGCCUUAAAGCAAAUAACGAACCCCCUAGAACAAAUUAAAAGCAACAAUUUGACUCGAGUAGUAUUUUUACUUUAAACCAGAAGUUUUCAUGUCAUGUGACCACAUGACGUCACAUCAACUAACUCCUUGUUCGCGCCAGCCAGAGUUUUGCCAUCCGCCAUUAUCGCUUCGAGUGUGAAGACAGUCCGCGGCCCAAGGAAAUCGCUUUUAGACAAGGUUGGAUUUUGUUUCCUGGAAAUUCCAGAAUUUUGCCCUUAUUGCUGAAUUUGGUUGUUCAGAAGGAUGAAGCUGAAGCAGAGCUUCAAAGAUGUACAAUGGCAGUGUAUGUCUUCAAGGAAGAUGAGGAUCCUCUCCAGCCACCACAUCACGUUGGAAUUGUUAUCGAAGGGGUGCAGGUCCUUAAUGACUUGCCAUCAGUCCCACAUGCAUGUGCUAUGUUGUUUGGCCUAAUCUACGUUCUAAAUUUGAGCUA